rnacentral:tRNA from 1 species
GCAGUUGUAGCUCAGUGGUAGGGCACUUGCCUAGCAUGUGAGGCACUGGGUUUGAUCCUCAGUACUGCA